UCGUCGUUCCGGUUCGCUGCCCAGAACCAGGUAAUUUUCUUUCUUUUCUUGAGUAAUUUUUAGCUCUGUUUCUUUCAUUUUAUCAUUCAUGUGUGUUGCUUAUUUUUGUAAUAGUUUAUUUACAUUUUAGCACCUUAAAUGUGAAUGUUUCCUUCUUCUUUUGUUUAGUAUAUUGCAGCUCUUGCCUUACUGUUGUUUUCUUUAGUCACUAUUAAUGUAUGCUACCUCACUGUGGUCAUGAUUGAAAGUUUAAGUCUCUCUUGAAUGUCUUAACGUUUUCUUUUAUUCCUUUAGCUUAAAGUAGAUCAGUUUUGAGUAAGUUUUAAGUGCCUAAACUUGUUUACUUUGUAAUAUCUUCAUGGUCGUUUUCAUGUAAUUUGGAGUUGUGAAUCUAAGUGAUGAAGCGUUGAAAUUUCCUUGUCUUUCCAUUUGAAUUUGUAUAAUCUAUAAAGACAUUUGUCCAAGUCUCUAAAUUAGCUAUAUGUUUUCUGGAAACAUUAUCAAGGACCUUUCUCUGCCAAGUUUCGAUGUGUUAAAUUUUGGCGAAUCUGAUUUUGUGCGAGUUUAAGUUGCCCUGCUUCUCAUUGAAUACUCUCAUGAUAUGAUUUUCUUUACCCUUAAGCAUGAUAAAAUAAUUGUGACACUCGGAAAAUUAAUUGUAUAAAUUAAGUAGCCUUCACUGUUUGUUCUAAAUUAUUUGAAAUCGACUAGUUGAUUUAUUUGAAGUCAAGCCCCCCUUUUUUUUCCCUUUACAUGGUUAAGUUUUAGAAAUCAAAUUCCCUAUUCUGUUUUGAUGUUCAUUCUUGUUGUUGUCUAAGUGUUUGACUUCUUAAUUGUUUAGUAUCCAUGUGUUGAUUUCAAGAGGUAUGGUAGGAUGUAUGACUGAAUGGUCAUUAGCUUUGCUACUGGUAUUUGUUUUUUUCUUUUUAUUUUUAUUUUAUUUUAUCUCAUAUUAGUGAAAUUAGAUUUAACAGUUAGUCUUCAAAUUUCCUUUUAGAACUAUCAGUUGUUUAUUUACUGAGAAUACAUGUGUAUACCAUUAUUUGUUUAUAUGCUAUGUUAUUAUGCUCCUUUACAGUGCAUGUGUAAGAAUAUAUUUGAGUUGAUAAUUAGUAUUUUGUCUCUUCUCUUAGGAAUAGGUUUAGGCUUUGUGAUUAGAUUUUAGAUAUUAUGUACCUAUUUAAAUUGUUGUGAUCAAAAUAUAAAGUUUAGUAUAUAAUGUCUAAUCCAUGCUUCUUUGAAAGUUUCGUACCUAUUCAGAAGUUUACCCGUGAGGUUCGGUUUAUUAUUAUAAAUAAUUUGAGUGUCUAGAUUUAUUAUCAAGAUGAAAGGAUUCAUUGUUGCAUCCAAAUGAUUUGUUUAAUAUUUUUGUGAAGUCUUAUCAUGUCAAGUUAUUAAUUUUAUCUCAUUUUGCGCAUGAACUCUCUUGUUCGAGUCCAAUUGGACCAUCUCUUGCAUACUCCUCUUCUUGAGUCAACCUCAUCCAAGUCGUGAAAGAGAAGCUAGUAUUAUUGGGUUAAAACCCAAAAGCCAACAUCAACAAUAGCUCAAAAAGAGCCAAAUUGAAAGUAUUUGGGUUCAAAUUGACAGAAAUGAACAUCGGCAGGCAGCAGCUUAAGAAAGCUGAAAUGAAACAUUCUUGGGUUCAAACCCAAAUGCAUCAGUGGCAGCAACUAUCAGCAACAUAUUGCGGUGGUCAAAUUGGCUAAAAGUUAGGCCUAAGGCCUAGUUUUCUCAUUUUGCUUUAUUCUCGUACCUCCUAGUUUUAUCUCAUCUUAUUUCUCUUAUUGUAUUAUUGCGAUAUUUGACUCUUAAUUAACUUAGAUGAAUCCUUUGGAGGUUUUUAAUGG
rnacentral:lncRNA from 1 species